rnacentral:tRNA from 1 species
GGACUGGGGCUCAGCGGUAGAGUGCUCAUCUGGCACAUGUGAGGUGCUGGGUUCGAUCCUCAGCACUACA